AUUGAACGCUGGCGGCAGGCCUAACACAUGCAAGUCGAACGAGUGGCGGACGGGUGAGUAAUGUCUGGGAAACUGCCUGAUGGAGGGGGAUAACUACUGGAAACGGUAGCUAAUACCGCAUACCAUCAGAUGUGCCCAGAUGGGAUUAGCUAGUUGGUGGGGUAACGGCUCACCAAGGCGACGAUCCCUAGCUGGUCUGAGAGGAUGACCACGCAAAAAGGAACUGAGACACGGUCCAGACUCUUACGGGAGUCAGCAGUGGGGAAUAUUGCACAAUGGGCGCAAGCCUGAUGCAGCCAUGCCGAGUGUAUGAAGAAGGCCUGCGGGUUGUAAAGUACUUUCAGCGGGGAGGCGUUACCCGAAGAAGAAGCACCGGCUAACUCCGUGCCAGCAGCCGCAGUAAUUA
rnacentral:rRNA from 1 species